AGACUGGCUGGGUUUUGGUGUCAAGGUUUUCAAGUCUCAGAAAUGAAUGUUGGCUGUAUUGAGCAAUGUUUGAAAAGGUAGUCAAACGGCAGUUUGUUUUCAAGCUGAGGCCAUUUACUGGAAUAGCAAAUGCUAUACUCAUUAUUUGAUCAAUGCAUUACAUCUCCAUUCGCUACAGUAUAUUUCUUCUGGGAAGAAAAAGAGAGGGGUAGCCCUCACAGUGAGCAAUUGGGUUUAUGUUCCAAAGAGACUGUUUGUGGGAAAUAUUUGCAGUAUGCAGUAUACAUCUAGGUUCUGCUCAGGGAAUAGCUGACUUCCUAAGAUUAGCACAAGGUUGUCUGUGGGGGAAGCAGCAAUGCCAUGACCCUCAUGGCAGCCAUUUUGUACUAUGCCACUUUCCAGUGGCUGCCAUUUUGUGACAGGCAGCCAUAGCACUACCUCAAAAUUCAAAAUAUGCCAACUAGUCCAAAAAGGUUGGUAAUUCCUGCACAUCACAUAAAUAAUAUUACUAUAUAUUGGAAGAUGAUAAACAGAAUUGUUUUCUUAUUUCUAUUACAUCCUGAUUAAUAUAAAGAGAAAUUGGCUUAUUGUAGAGGGAAGAGCAGUUGUUGGCCCUCCAAGUGUCCCUAUUUUUCAGGGACGUCCCUCAUUUAGAGAAGCCAUCCCAGUUUCUGAUUUGGUCCCAGAAUGUCCCACUUUUCCUUAAGAUGUCCCUAUUUUCAUUGCAGAAAUGUUGGGAGGGUAUGGAGUUAUACAAUUCCUGAGUUGUCUGAAGGCAAUCCUGUACAGGGAAGUUUUUUUAAAAAAUGUUUACUGUUUUAUUAUGGUUUUAUAUAUGUUGGAAGCUGCCCAGAGUACUGGGGCAACCCAAUACGAUGUGUGGGAUAUAAAUAAUAUAAAAAAUAAAAUUAUGGAAUCGGACGUCCCUAUUUUCAUUGGAGAAAUAUUGGAGGGUAUGAAAUCAGUUAUCCAAAGGUUUUUUCUUUUGUAAAAACUGUUAAUGCAAGUAGGUUAAAGGACAAACUUGACUGAUUGUGCUUGUUUUUGGUUUUGUUCUUCUAAUAGCAAGAUAGACAUUUUGUAGCACACGUCUCCACCAAGGUAAGGUAAGGUAGUAUAAAUUGUUGAAACUAAUUUUAUUCCCACCUCUAAAUCUUUUUUGUAAUGUGCAGAUAAUGAGGAAGUCUUCUAGUUAAACUCAUUAUUAGGAGCAGUCAAUGUAUGUUUCCCUGUAGCACUUCAGGUAAUUUCAUUAACUCUGUAGCAUUUUCCACAGGUUUUUGCAAACUUUUAGGUUUCAGCAAGUGAUCAUUCAUUCAUACUGUCUUCUUACAGCACUAUUAUGUGAAUGUUUACUGAGAAGUAAGUCCUAUGCUUUUCAAUGUGGCUUAUUUCCUGGGCCAGAGAUUCCCUAGCCUGCUUUCGAACAACGGUACAAAAUGAGAAUAUUUUCUUGCAUCUAAUGGCUCUUUACAUUUUACGGUCUUUAAGAAUGUUUAAUGAUUGAUUUAAUUGUGUUUUUAUCAAUCUGUUUACAAGCAACUGUGGCAAAAAUGCGGC